UCUCCAUUUGUGGGUAUUUUCUAAUUAAGUCUUCGAAAUGCUCCCAUGCUUCAUCUAAUGUCUCAUCUUUAGAUUGUCUAAACAAUGUAAUGUCAUUCCUUAGCUU
rfam:Gossypium hirsutum cultivar TM-1 chromosome 16, whole genome shotgun sequence